AGCAGUUCUCGGGGCGGGGUGAAAUUCCCCACCGGCGGUAUCGGGGAAACCCGGAGCCCGCGAGCGCUUCGGAUAAAAUGUUCGAAGGUCAGCAGAUCCGGUGAGAUGCCGGAGCCGACGGUUGAGGUGGCGUCAAGCGAAGCCGCCCGAAAGUCCGGAUGAGAGAGAACUUGA
rnacentral:ncRNA from 2 species